rnacentral:rRNA from 1 species
UGGGGAAUAUUGGACAAUGGGGGCAACCCUGAUCCAGCCAUGCCGCGUGAGUGAUGAAGGCCUUAGGGUUGUAAAGCUCUUUCGCCGGUGAAGAUAAUGACGGUAACCGGUAAAGAAGCCCCGGCUAACUUCGUGCCAGCAGCCGCGGUAAUACGAAGGGGGCUAGCGUUGUUCGGAAUUACUGGGCGUAAAGCGCGCGUAGGCGGACUAUUAAGUCAGGGGUGAAAUCCCGGGGCUCAACCUCGGAAUUGCCUUUGAUACUGGUAGUCUAGAGUCCGUGAGAGGUGGGGGGAACUCCGAGUGUGGAGGUGAAAUUCGUAGAUAUUCGGAAGAACACCGGUGGGGAAGGCGGCUCACUGGCACGGUACGGACGCUGAGGUGCGAAAGCGUGGGGAGCAAACGGGAUUAGAUACCCCCGUAGUCC